AACGCGAAGACAAGUUCCCAGAUUUUGACAUGUCCGGCUUGAUCGGCAGAGAUGCCUUUCUUCAGUUCGGCUGGCCGGAACACAGGCAGAGCAUGGCUGUCGUCAGGUCGUGUCGUGAGAUGUUGGUUUAAGUCCCGCAACGAGCGCACCCCUUGCCCCUAGUUGCCAUCAUUCAGUUGGGAACUCUAGGGGGACCACCGGUGAUAAGCCUCGAGGAAGGUGGGGAUGAGGUCAAUUCCUCACGGUCCUUACAGGGUGGGCUACACACGUGCUACAAUGGCGGGGACAAUGGGCAGCGACUGGGGGACCUCGAGCUAAUCCCAAAAAGCCGAGUCAGUUCAGACCGCACUGCGCAAGUCGAGUGCACGAAGGAGGAAAAGAUAGUAAUCGGGAUCAGCA
rnacentral:rRNA from 1 species